rnacentral:rRNA from 1 species
GAUGAACGCUGGCGGCGUGCCUAAUACAUGCAAGUAGAACGCUGAAGGAGGAGCUUGCUCUUCUGGAUGAGUUGCGAACGGGUGAGUAACGCGUAGGUAACCUGCCUGGUAGCGGGGGAUAACUAUUGGAAACGAUAGCUAAUACCGCAUGACAACAGUUAUUGCAUGAUAACUGUUUAAAAGGGGCAACUGCUCCACUACCAGAUGGACCUGCGUUGUAUUAGCUAGUUGGUGAGGUAACGGCUCACCAAGGCGACGAUACAUAGCCGACCUGAGAGGGUGAGCGGCCACACUGGGACUGAGACACGGCCCAGAGUCCUACAGGAGGCAGCAGGAGGGAAACGUCGGCAAGGGACGGAAGACUGACCGAGCAACGCCGCGUGAGUGAAGAAGGUUGUCGGAUCGUAAAGCUCUGUUGUAAGGGAAGAACGAGUGUGAGAGUGGAAAGUUCACACUGUGACGGUAUCUUACCAGAAAGGGACGGCUAACUACGUG